GUCAGGCAUGAUGGUACAUGCUCAUCGUUCCAACUACUCAGGAAGCUGAGGUGGGAGGAUCCCUUAAGUCCAGAAGCUCUGGGUUGCAGUGGGCUAUACCAGUUGGGUAUCUGCACUAAGGUCAGCAUCACUGUGAUAAACUCCCAGAAAUGGGAGACCACCAGGUUGCCUAAGAAGCUAUGAACCGGCCCAGAUAGGAACUGGAGCAGGUCAAAAUCCCCAUGCUGAUCAGUAGUGGGAUUGUGCCUGUAAAUAGUCCCUGUACUCCAGCCUGGACAACAUACCAAGACUCCGUCUAA
rnacentral:SRP_RNA from 1 species